UCUGGUUGAUCCUGCCAGAGGUUACUGCUAUCGAGGUUCGACUAAGCCAUGCGAGUCGAAUGUAGCAAUACAUGGCGAACUGCUCAGUAACACGUGGACAACCUGCCCUUAGGUUGGGUAUAAACCCGGGAAACUGGGUAUAAUACCCGAUAGGUCUCGAUUGCUGGAAUGCAUCGAGAUUUAAAGCUCCGGCGCCUAAGGAUGGGUCUGCGGCCUAUCAGGUAGUAGUGGGUGUAGCGUACCUACUAGCCUACGACGGGUACGGGUUGUGAGAGCAAGAGCCCGGAGAUGGAUUCUGAGACACGAAUCCAGGCCCUACGGGGUGCAGCAGGCGCGAAAACUUUACAAUGCUGGCAACAGCGAUAAGGGAACCUCGAGUGCCAGGUUACAAAUCUGGCUGUCGAGAUGCCUAAAAAGCAUUUCAUAGCAAGGGCCGGGCAAGACCGGUGCCAGCCGCCGCGGUAACACCGGCGGCUCGAGUGGUAACCGUUAUUAUUGGGUCUAAAGGGUCUGUAGCCGGCCGGAUAAGUCUCUUGAGAAAUCUGGCAGCUUAACUGUCAGGCUUUCAGGAGAUACUGUCUGGCUCGAGGCCGGGAGAGGUGAGAGGUACUUCAGGGGUAGGGGUGAAAUCUUGUAAUCCUUGAAGGACCACCAGUGGCGAAGGCGUCUCACCAGAACGGACCUGACGGCAAGGGACGAAAGCUAGGGGCACGAACCGGAUUAGAUACCCGGGUAGUCCUAGCCGUAAACGAUACUCGCUAGGUGUCGGCCACGGUGCGACCGUUGUCGGUGCCGUAGGGAAGCCGUGAAGCGAGCCACCUGGGAAGUACGGCCGCAAGGCUGAAACUUAAAGGAAUUGGCGGGGGAGCACCACAACGGGUGGAGCUUGCGGUUUAAUUGGAUUCAACGCCCGGA
rnacentral:rRNA from 1 species